CUUCAGAGGAGGUUCUUCUGAGGCUGCUGCCGGUGGUCAAAGCCUCCAACAAAGUUCUACUGAGCGGCUGUAACCUCUCAAAGAGAAGCUGUGACGUUCUGUCCUCAGUCCUCAUCUCUCAGUCCUCCAGUCUGAGAGAUCUGGAUCUGAG